GUGCCCGUAGCUCAGUUGGUAGAGCAUUCGACUUUUAAUCGAAUGGUCCUCGGUUCGAGUCCGAGCGGGCACACCA
rnacentral:tRNA from 1 species